rnacentral:misc_RNA from 1 species
ACACCCCCACACUCAACUUUAGGGUUGAGUGGAACUGAGAGUUCACGGUCCCCCUCCCGGGACUGUACUCUUUAAAAUUAUUAGGCCUGAAAAUUGUAUUGUCUUUUUUUUUUGCCUGAACAUUUUUUUAAUAUAAAGGAAUGCUUCUUGUCAUCAAACAAUCUUCUCUGGGGCCUCCCAAAUAAAUCUCUUUUUUUAAAA